rnacentral:miRNA from 10 species
UAGAGUGACCAACUGUCCUGGUUUGCCUGGGGCUGAGAGGUUUCCUAGGACACAGGACUUUCAGUGCUAAA